rnacentral:rRNA from 1 species
GGACCCGCACAAGUAGUGGAGCAUGUGGUUUAAUUCGAAGAUACGCGCAGAACCUUACCAACACUUGACAUGUUCGUCGCGACUCUAAGAGAUUAGAGUUUUCGGUUCGGCCGGACGAAACACAGGUGCUGCAUGGCUGUCGUCAGCUCGUGUCGUGAGAUGUUGGGUUAAGUCCCGCAACGAGCGCAACCCUCACUUUUAGUUGCCAUCAUUAAGUUGGGCACUCUGAAAGAACUGCCAGUGAUAAGCUGGAGGAAGGUGGGGAUGACGUCAAGUCCUCAUGGCCCUUACGUGUUGGGCUACACACGUGCUACAAUGGUAUCUACAACAGGAAGCAAAACGGCAACGUUAAGCAAAUCCCGAAAAGAUACCUCAGUUCGGAUUGCACUCUGCAACUCGAGUGCAUGAAGCUGGAAUCGCUAGUAA